CAUAUAGUCCCUCCGUCAGAAAAAGCUUGUCCCAAACUUGUUCUUCAAAUGGAUGUAUCUAGCACUAACUUGGUGCUAGAUACAUGCAUCCAUCUGAGAGACAAGUUUUUUCGGACGGAGGAAGUACU
rnacentral:pre_miRNA from 1 species